GUAAUAUUAUUAAACUGCAUAAUACAAUUAAUAAAUUAAAAGUACUUAAAAAGCGGCCGCGUUCUUCAAUUUGAGGAAUUGGGGAAUCGAGGGCAGCUUCCCAUUCAGAUCGACUCUCCGGCGGACUCUCACGCGCGCUCUCUAUCUCUUCCUCUCCGUUCGUCGGUCUACGAACAGAAACCACGGAUGCAAUCUGUGCCUGCGAUUGGGAACUGUGAGAUUGCAAGACUAGGCUGUCAGUGAGUGGUUGGCUUGAUUGAUUGAUUUAUUGAACUCAACUCAUGGCGACAGCGGAUGAGGGGAAGCACAAAUCUAAGAAGGAAGAUUUGGUGAGGAAAGAGGAUUCGAAGAGGAGUUACUCUGAAAGGGAUCGCGACAGAGAGAGAGAUAAGGAGAGGAAUGGGGAGAGGCACAGGGACAAGGAUAGGGAGAAGAAAGACCGGGAGAGUCGACGGUCUGAGAGGGAGAGGAGUGUGGAUGAGAAGUAUCGGGAGCGGGAAAAGCAAAGGGAUAAGCACAAAGAAAGGGACAGGGACAGAGAUAGAACUAGGGGCCGGGAGGAAGAGCGGGAAAGAGCUCGUGAUAAAACCCGAGAUAGAGAAGAUAGGGAGGUGGAAAGGGAUAGAGAAGAUAGGGAGAGGGAUAAAGAGAGAGAGAGGGAAAGCCGAGAUAGAGCAAGGGAGAGGGAGAGGGAGAGGGAGAGGGAGAGGGAACGCGAGGAUAGGGAGAGGGAGCGGGAAAAAGAAAGGGAAAGGGAGAAAGAAAGAGAGAGGGAGAGGGCAAGGGAGAGGGAGAGGGAGAGAGAGAGGGAGAGAGAAAGGGAGAAGAGGGAGCGUGAGAGGGAAGAGAGGGAUAGGGAGAAGGAACGAGAAAGGGAAAGGAUUCGAGAGAGGGAGAAGCGUCGGGAUGUGGAUAGGGAUGACAGCAGUGAUGAUGAUGAUGUUAGGAACCGUGAUAGGAAAAGACGUAGAAGAGAUGAUGGUUAUAAGGAGAGAGAGCGAGAACGGAGUGGAAGGUCGAGAAGGCACAAAGACGACAGUGAAGAUAGCCCGAGGAGAAGGAGUGAUGAGGAAUUAGAUAAGAAAGAAAAGAAAACCACUAGGGAAGAGGAUUUAGCAGAAGAACAACGGAAAUUGGAUGAAGAAAUGGAAAAGCGGAGGAGGAGAGUUCAAGAAUGGCAAGAGUUAAGGAGAAAGCAAGAAGAAUCUGAGAGAGAGAAACUCGGCCAAGAAAAUGCUGAGGAGCCCAAGUUUGGUAAGACUUGGACCCUAGAAGGAGAAUCUGACGAUGAGGAAGUUCCUCCAAUUGGGAAAUCAGAGGCUGAUAUGAACAUGGAUGAAGAUGUUAAGCAUACUGAUGAAAAUAGGGAUGCAAUGGUAGUAGAUUCUGAAAAUGGAAAUGCUGCAACUGCUUCUCAAAAUGUGGGUGAUGGUGAGGUUGGGGAUGACGAAAUUGAUCCAUUAGAUGCUUUCAUGAGUUCUAUGGUGUUACCUGAAGUUGAAAAACUGAAUAAUGCUGAGGCUCCUUCAACCAUUAAUGGCAAAAAUAUGGACUUGAAGAAAAAGGAUAAAGUUGAUGACCAGCGCAAUGGAGAACAUCCGAGAAAAGGUUCAACUAAGUCUAUGGGCAGGAUAAUUCCAGGCGAAGAUUCUGAUUCAGAUUAUGAGGACCUUGACAAUGAUGAAGGGUCUAUAGAAGAUGAGGACGACGAUGAGUUCAUGAAGAGGGUGAAAAAGACCAAAGCCGAGAAAUUAUCAAUUGUUGACCACUCAAAGAUUGAAUAUAUACAAUUCCGGAAGAAUUUCUAUAUUGAAGUCAAGGAGAUCUUAAGGAUGACGCCAGAAGAGGUCGUUGCUUACAGGAAGCAGUUAGAAUUGAAGAUACAUGGAAAGGAUGUGCCAAAGCCCAUUAAAACAUGGCAUCAAACUGGACUUGCAAGUAAAAUUUUGGAGACAAUAAAAAAGCUCAACUUUGAAAAGCCAAUGCCAAUUCAAGCUCAGGCGCUGCCUAUAAUUAUGAGUGGUCGAGAUUGCAUUGGCAUUGCGAAAACUGGUUCUGGGAAAACCCUGGCAUUUGUGCUGCCAAUGUUGAGGCAUAUCAAAGACCAGCCACCUGUUGUGGCUGGGGAUGGACCUAUUGGGCUUGUAAUGGCACCAACAAGGGAGCUUGUUCAGCAGAUACACAGUGAUAUUAAGAAGUUCGCGAAGGUAGUGGGUGUCAAGUGUGUGCCUGUGUAUGGGGGUUCUGGUGUUGCUCAACAGAUUAGUGAACUGAAGCGGGGAGCUGAGAUUGUUGUCUGUACUCCAGGUAGGAUGAUUGACAUACUUUGUACCAGUGGUGGAAAAAUCACAAAUCUGCGUAGAGUUACUUACUUGGUUAUGGAUGAAGCUGAUAGGAUGUUUGACAUGGGUUUUGAACCUCAGAUAACUCGAAUUGUUCAAAAUACACGACCAGAUCGUCAAACUGUACUGUUCUCUGCCACUUUCCCUCGCCAGGUUGAAAUUUUGGCUCGUAAAGUGUUAAACAAGCCUGUGGAAAUACAAGUUGGUGGGAGGAGUGUUGUGAACAAGGACAUAACCCAAUUGGUUGAGGUAAGACAAGAAAAUGAAAGGUUCUUAAGAUUGCUGGAAUUACUUGGAGAAUGGUACGAGAAGGGGAAAAUCUUAAUAUUUGUCCACUCACAGGAGAAAUGUGAUGCUUUGUUCAAGGAUUUGAUUAGGCAUGGCUAUCCUUGCCUUUCACUUCAUGGGGCUAAAGAUCAGACAGAUCGUGAAUCUACCAUUUCUGAUUUCAAGAGUAAUGUGUGCAAUUUACUGACUGCGACAAGUGUUGCUGCCAGGGGUUUGGAUGUGAAAGAACUGGAAUUGGUGAUCAAUUUUGAUGUUCCAAAUCACUAUGAAGACUAUGUUCAUCGUGUUGGUCGUACGGGACGAGCUGGGCGAAAGGGCUGUGCUAUCACUUUCAUCUCUGAGGAAGAUGCAAGAUAUGCGCCUGAUCUUGUCAAAGCCUUGGAACUUUCUGAGCAAGUUGUUCCUGAUGACCUGAAAGCCCUUGCUGAUGGUUUUAUGGCAAAAGUGAAUCAAGGGCUUGAGCAAGCCCAUGGGACUGGUUAUGGUGGAAGUGGUUUUAAAUUUAAUGAAGAGGAGGAUGAAGUGAGGAGAGCAGCAAAAAAAGCACAGGCAAAAGAGUAUGGUUUUGAGGAAGACAAAUCAGAUUCAGAAGAUGAAGAUGAAGGGGUACGGAAAGCUGGUGGUGACAUCUCACAGCAAACUGCUCUUGCUCAGAUUGCUGCCCUUGCUGCUGCCUCCAAAGUUAGUACAGCUUCAUUGCCAAACUCGGCCUCAGCAGCCCAACUGCUUCCAAAUGGUGGACUGCCUGUUUCUCUUCCUGGUGUACUUGGUCUACCGAUACCUGCUGCAACAACAGUUGUGCCUGGGACUGUGCUGCCUAUUGGCCCGAAUGAUGGGGCUGCUCGAGCAGCCGCUCUGGCAGCUGCUAUCAACCUGCAGCAUAACUUAGCAAAGAUUCAAGCUGAUGCAAUGCCGGAACACUAUGAAGCAGAGUUGGAGAUAAACGAUUUUCCACAAAAUGCUAGAUGGAAAGUGACCCACAAGGAAACUCUGGGCCCAAUUUCUGAAUGGACUGGAGCUGCUAUUACUACGAGAGGGCAGUAUUAUCCUCCAGGUAGGAUCCCAGGGCCAGGAGAACGCAAGCUGUACCUGUUCAUUGAGGGCCCUACUGAGCAAUCUGUCAAGAGAGCAAAAGCAGAAUUGAAACGUGUUUUGGAGGAUAUCACGAACCAGGCAUCCUCACUUCCAGGUGGAACCCAGCCAGGGAGGUAUUCUGUGGUGUAAGAACUCAGUUCUAACCUGCACUGUUUAAUAGGGUAUUUCAGGACAUAUCUCCCUUGGACUUGCAAUGGAUCUCCAGCCGAUGAUAUAUUAACUUUGGUGUGGUCAUGCCUAAUGUGUCUCCCUCUAAUUCGGAGGAUGCAUGGUUAAGGUUGAAGGUUCGGCCUUCUCUUAGAGUCCUGCCUGUGUACUUAUUUGGUAACAAGGACUUGCAGAAAUGUGAGAUGUGGCAAAAUAGGAAGACCCAAGUGUUUUUUGGUACGUUAUAUUUUCGUUGAACAUUUUGUUUAUGAUUCUUUGGUUUGAUUUUAGUUUAAUUGUAAUGAAGAUGAACAUGAACAAUUUUGAAAAUGUUUCCAGAAUACAGCAAUGACCAGCUAGGUUUUUGUUCAUGAAAUGUGUCGAAAAGAAAAUGGUUUGAGAGUUUAACCCCUGGCUCCUAUUUCCUCUGGUAAGGUGAAAACGAAGAUACACCCUUGAAGAUUUGGAGAUGCAAGGACAGCACUGCCAUAGAUCUAUUUGAGAAAAAAAAAAAAACUUCUGUUUAAUUACUUUAUGUAUAAUGAUGUAAUGUGCACAGAAUUGAUGCAAUGUAGUCAGAAGUGCUGGGUGCAUGCUGAGGUGCAGCAAGGGGCAUGCCUGGCGUUUUUCAAGCUCUCAGGAGGGUGAAUCUUUAAUGGGACACUUGCUUUUGGCCCUAAGCUCUUCCUUUAAUGUGCAGGUGCAUAAAGCAAACACCUUAUUGAAAUCCUAUCAGAAAAUAUAAUCUUCCAGUUAUCUGCAAGACAUGGUUCAGAAUAUGGUGCUUUUCAUCGAAAUUCCUCAAAACCUUCCAAAUAUCAGCAAGCUAUGGUUCAGACUAUGGUUCCAAUGAACUUUUCGUGCCUUUUCUCCUCUUUUAUCUUUGUUUUGCUCCCUGUCGUUCGUCUCUUCUGGCCUAAAAAUGAUUAGAAGUUAAAAUGCCAGGGAAAAUUAUUCAAAACAGUGGCAUCCUUAAGUUCAAAAUUCUAGACUAGGUCAGCCCUGUAUGCACUUGCCCUAACUUGACAUGGAGCAGUUCUGCAUACUCUCAAGCCUCCAACUCCAUGAAAUUAAGCCAAAAUAUGGAAAAUAAAUUUUAUUUAUUUGUAUUUAUAAGCUAAAAAAGUUGUUUCUUGUCAGAGAAAAUAAAAAUAAAAAUUUAAAUCAAGAGAACAUACGCAUUUGUUCUGUCAUUUAACUAUGCAAAUAUAGUUGUAGGAUAUGCCGGUGCCAUAUGAGUAUAUUUACAUUGUAUGUUAUUCUUUACUUUUUCAAUUGAUAAAUAAAGUAACAUGUCAAAAUUUGGAUGGAGGUGCAGGAGAUUGGACAUUUGGACCCUCUAUGCUCCAGUGAGGGAAGCGUUCUACAAAUUCUUUAUUUCCCUGUCUUCUGUUUUGUGUUUAAACUGAAUACUGUGCUUUUCCUUUUUGAAAUUUUUUCUUGAUGCCUUCUGCUUCAUGAUUGAUUAAAUGCUGUAGUUACCUUGGCUUGUAGGGAAGAAACCAACCUCCCCCAACACACUGAAGGAGUUGAGUUUUUAGAACACCACAAAGUAUACCGUGUUGCCCCAUUUAAUCUCUCUCAUGUUUGUGCAUCCUGUAACUUGUUCAUGUGAUCUGCAGGCCCCAGAUCCCACAUUUACUUCUUGCAGCAGGCGCUGGAACUUGAUGGUGUGCUCUUUGAAGCUCACCAGCUCAUCACAAGUAUUUCAAGACUUAUAUUAUUUGCAUCAGGUCUUGAAGUUGAGCAAGACUACACAGGAUUUUUGUAAGAAAUGUUUUUAUUCCAUUUUAUUUAGAAAUAGUAAAAAUAUAUUUAUAGAGUAAACUAACCACUUUGAUCCACUCAACCACGCAAAACUUGAACUGAGCUUGGUUGUCGGGCGUUAGCAUCUUGUUACAUAUUCCUAUAACGGCAGUUUGUGAUUGUUAAGUUACUGAAUGACACGGUUUAUUUAGUUCUGUGGAA